GACGAACGCUGGCGGCGUGCUUAACACAUGCAAGUCGAACGGUAAGGCCCCAGCUUGCUGGGGUACACGAGUGGCGAACGGGUGAGUAACACGUGGGUGACCUGCCCCGCACUUCGGGAUAAGCCUGGGCAACUGCGUCUAAUACCGGCUACGACCGCACCGUGGGGGUGUGGUGGAAAGUUUUGCGGUGUGGGAUGGGCCCGCGGCCUAUCAGCUUGUUGGUGGGGUAAUGGCCUACCAAGGCGGCGACGGGUAACCGGCCUGAGAGGGUGGACGGCCACAUGGGGACUGAGACACGGCCCAGACUCCUACGGGAGGCAGCAGUGGGGAAUAUUGCACAAUGGGCGGAAGCCUGAUGCAGCGACGCCGCGUGGGGGAUGACGGCCUUCGGGUUGUAAACUCCUUUCACCAACGACGAAGGUUUUCUGACGGUAGAUGGAGAAGAAGCACCGGCUAACUACGUG
rnacentral:rRNA from 1 species